UUUUUAUUAAAGUGUAAAAAUCGAAUCUUGAAAGUAUAUUAAAAGUUAUGAUCCCACAAAAAGAUAAACUAGAACCAGAACAAACAGUAAAAAGAUUAAUGGGUAUCUUGUUAUUUGAUCUAAAGAUCCAAGAACAAAAAAAAGAAAGUUGAGUUUUAAAUCAAAAUUAAAGAUCUUUAUGGUACUAAAAAUAGAAUCUUGAAACAUAAGUUAAAAUAAAAGUGGGCUGGGCUGGGCUUACAUUGAUGUUUCCUUCGAUGAAACAAACCAAGCCACUUGAGUCUA
rnacentral:lncRNA from 1 species